ensembl:lncRNA
GCUUUAUUCAACACAGUUCGAACGGAGGGACGUUGUAUCUCCUCCUUAAGAACCGACGCGUCGGCUGUUCAGGGACACGGCGAUGAGCUCAAGUCAAACGGCGUACGGAUGGAAGAUAAACCUUUAAACCCCCGACGCGGGUCAUACUGAGCGCCGUGGCCUCUGAUCCGCCACCCGACAGCCGGGCGAGAUCCUCCCCAAGGCACAUUUCAGAGUUUCUGUCCGAUGCCCUUCAUGACCACACCGCCGUGCUGCUGUGCUGUCAUGUCAGUCCUUUGCCUUCGUGUCGAGUUGCGGCUGCGAGGACGGCUCCUCGUCGCUCUACUGGUCGGCCGCUGUGACCAGUUCAAACCACUGCCUGAGUGCGUCGCUCAGGGUCUCCGGCAAGGCGUUGACGUCGCGCAGGAUGACGUAGAAGGGGAAGGGGAACUCCUCCAUGUAGGAGCGGAUCUCGGGCAGCUCUCCGGGCCCUUUGAAGAUGGGCACCUUGAUGUCCAGGAUGGAGUCCUGCGGCGCAGCACCGAGCUUACGGUUACACUGUGUCCGGAGGACAUUCGGGGCCCAGUACAUCAUUUCAUUUCAUUUCUCUUACCCGGGAGUUCGGGUUGUCGAGCGCCACGAACAUGAUGAACACGUUGGCGCUGCGUGCGGCGCGCACGGCCGCCAUCACCCGCUCCUUCCCCUCCAGGAACAAGCCGCGCCCGUCGGACACGAUGACCAGCAGCUGGGCGGUCUCUGUGGAGAGAGAGAG